rnacentral:rRNA from 1 species
GAGUUUGAUUCUGGCUCAGAACGAACGCUGGCGGCGCGUCUUAAGCAUGCAAGUCGAACGGUAAGGGAGAGCUUGCUCUCCCCUAGAGUGGCGGACUGGUGAGUAACGCGUGGGUGACCUGCCCUGAAGCUGGGGAUAGCUAGUAGAAAUAUUAGAUAAUACCGAAUGUGCUCAUUUACAUAAAGGUAAAUGAGGAAAGGAGCUACGGCUCCGCUUCAGGAUGGGCCCGCGUCCCAUUAGCUAGUUGGUGAGGUAAAGGCCCACCAAGGCAACGAUGGGUAUCCGGCCUGAGAGGGUGAACGGACACAUUGGGACUGAGAUACGGCCCAAACUCCUACGGGAGGCAGCAGCUAAGAAUCUUCCGCAAUGGACGAAAGUCUGACGGAGCGACGCCGUGUGAAUGAAGAAGGCCGAAAGGUUGUAAAAUUCUUUUGCAGAUGAAGAAUAAACACAGGAGGGAAUGCCUGUGAGAUGA